AUGUUCUUCCGGUCCAUGCAUCCUAAUAAUAGCGAGUUGUUCCCGGUAAUUUGUGUCAAAUGCAUCCCCCCGCACACAUAAAUAGCCAUAAGAAAACUAACUUAGUGAGCGUUUGAACUGAAGUGCCAUUAAACUCUGAAACACUACGCAAAUAAAUUUAAAAGACGACGUUAAACCACCAAAAGCAAGUAACGGUGUGAACCUCACUCAUGAUUGGAGCGCAAUACAGUAUAACGAAAAAAAAAAACAAUGGCUUUCUGCAUCGAUGGCUGCCAUCGUCAGGAGGCAAAUAGAUGAGUGAGUGAACUUGCAGUGAGGUUAUGCAACGCUCCAGCAGCUGCCUGCCUGCCAAGCCACUCUGUCGUGUUAUUGGCCUGCAUGAUGGGAGACUCCGGCCCGCCCAUUGCAAUAGAACCAGCCCUGGUUACUCAUUCAUCUCAGCUGACAUGAGGAGACAAAGGUCUGAAACCCAGGCGCUACUCCGAACCCGAGCUGAUCAAUGAAAGACGGUUCAUCUUGGCUGUGAAUUUGCACUUUGAUCCCAGCUUCAAAAGAUGUCUCAUCUGAUUAAAUGAAGAAAAACAGGAAGGUACUCAUCUUGCUGAAUGUCCAGCAUCAGUUCAAGUCCGUUUCCCAUUCCUCCCUUGGUGGUUAUGAGAGGAGGGCGAUCGUCACCGCCGGCGUUGAAGGUAUAACACUUGCCGUAACGAGUGAAAACCUGAAAGAAAUGAGAAACUUUUCUUCAACUUUUCCACUGGGGGUCAGUGUUUGUCUCCAUUUAUGCAUGAUCAUGAAGAAGCAGAAGGGAGGCUUUUUAGAGAAGAAAAAAAACCAACAAUAGAGACAAGGGCAGACAGGAGAAAAAUAAAAGACCCAAUUUUCUACUCCUGGCUUUGGGUGAAAGAGCUAUAUCAGUAAGAUUCUGGCAUCUAACAGGCUGAUUUAUGACCGUUACAUUGAAUCUCAUGUUACCAUGGAGACCAAGCAUGCCAGGUUUGAAGAAAGCUACUAUACAGAUGUUUGAUGGGAAGCAGUGUGCGCUAUUAACCAAAGACACGUGCAACAUAACUCAGUGGCAGUAGGUGAAUACUCGUAGACGAAUAAUCUGCCAGGAUUGACUUUCUUCUUGGCAAAGAAUUCAUCUUAGAUUGGAGCUGUUGGAGUGAGAGUGGGAGGACGGUAAUACAAAGUCAGGGAGACAGAUGUGUGGGGAGAUACUGUACAUGGGGAGUCCUAUGACACACAACAUUUUCAUCUUUGCUUUUGAGAGAACGAACCAAAAAUGCAGUUUUAAAAUAAAGAACAGUGUUAAUAAGCAUAGAAAUUGGUGAAUUAGAGUCAAAUGCGGAGUUAAGGCACAAAUAAUACAAUAGUUCAUUAAUUUGAUUGCAAUCUAGACAAAGACAGACUUUCU